UACGGGGGGGGUAAGCGUUGUUCGGAAUUACUGGGCGUAAAGGGCUCGUAGGCGGCCAACUAAGUCAUACGUGAAAUCCCUCAGCUUAACUGGGGAACUGCGUGUGAUACUGGAUGGCUUGGAUGUGGGAGAGGGAUGCGGAAUUCCAGGUGUAGCGGUGAAAUGCGUAGAUAUCUGGAGGAACACCGGUGGCGAAGGCGGCAUCCUGGACCAUUAUUGACGCUGAGGAGCGAAAGCCAGGGGAGCAAGCGGG
rnacentral:rRNA from 1 species